CGCGGCCUAUCAGCUUGUUGGUGGGGUAACGGCCCACCAAGGCGACGACGGGUAGCCGGCCUGAGAGGGUGUCCGGCCACACUGGGACUGAGACACGGCCCAGACUCCUACGGGAGGCAGCAGUAGGGAAUCUUGCGCAAUGGGCGAAAGCCUGACGCAGCGACGCCGCGUGGGGGAAGAAGGCCUUCGGGUUGUAAACCCCUUUCAGCGGGGAAGAAGCGAAAGUGACGGUACCCGCAGAAGAGGCCCCGGCCAACUACGUGCCAGCAGCCGCGGUAAUACGUAGGGGGCGAGCGUUGUCCGGAUUCACUGGGCGUAAAGAGCUCGUAGGCGGCUACGGAAGUCGGCUGUGAAAGCCCGGGGCUCAACCCCGGGAGGCCAGUCGAUACUCCGUGGCUAGAGGGCGGCAGAGGGAGAUGGAAUUCCCGGUGUAGCGGUGAAAUGCGCAGAUAUCGGGAGGAACACCAGUGGCGAAGGCGGUCUCCUGGGCCGACCCUGACGCUGAGGAGCGAAAGUUGGGGGAGCGAACAGGAUUAGAUACCCUGGUAGUCCUAGCCGUAAAUGAUGGGCAUUAGGUGUGGGCGGUCGUCAACGCCGUCCGUGCCGAAGCUAACGCGUUAAGUGCCCCGCCUGGGGAGUACGG
rnacentral:rRNA from 1 species